ensembl:lncRNA
UAGAAUGGUGCUGGAGAGUGUUUCUGCAAAUAUCGUUAGGGGUCUUUUAGUCGCAUAUUGCAUUCGUGCAGGCUUUUACUUAACAUUGAGUUGAUUAUUUACUUAUUUAUUUUUCUGUAAAAUAUGUAAGGAUGCUUCAGCACUUCUUGGAGAGGAAAAGAAUUGUGACUAGUGCUAUUUUAAGUUUAAAAAAGCCUGCUACCAAAAGAAAAUCCUAGUAGAUAAUCGUGUCCCUGCACUUGCAGGUGUACCAAAGUCUGCUAACUCCCACCUGGGAAGCAGUUUUGGGUGCCCUACAGAAAAACAGAAGUCUGGCAUUGCUUCCUGUAAGAGCUGAAAGCCUGGAGCUGGAGCCAAAGGUCUGGCACAAAAUAUCAUUAUGGAACCUCUGAUUCCAUUACAGCCGUGGAGAGCAGAACGAAGUCAAGAAGCCUGUGAAGAAGGUGGUUCCCGCAGGCAGCGAGCUGUGCACUGACCGCAGGCUUCUGCAGUGACUACGUCUGGAGGAGUUUCUCCACUUGCUGGAAAGAAAACAUAAGGAGAAUUUUAGUGGGCAAAAUAAAGGCAUCUCUUCUCAUGUGAAUGCUCACCCAUGAGCACAACAGAGCAACACAUGUGAUCUGCAGUUCAAGGUUCUUCCUUAAGGAAUAAUUCUAAGAAGAUAUUAAUAAAAUUGGAAGAAAUUACCAAGAUAUCAUAAGGAGACCAAAAUGUAUUCACACCUGCAGUACAGUCAGGACAGCAAAGUGAGCUGAGGGCUGGCAUUCUGCCUUCAGAAAGCAGACAGCUGUGGCUGGUAAUCCCCUGAACUGCCACAGUAGGGUUUGAUAAAGCUUAUAAAGCCUCUCUGGCAGAGCCCCUCAUGCUCUACCACCUUAAAAGUUACAUGACCUAGAAGUUGUAGUGACUGAAAGCAGACAGUUGGAGGUGAGAUAUCAAGUCUCAAGCUUCUACUGGGAAAAUAUGUAGAAAAAGAAAGUGUGAUUACGGAUGUUUUGUUGAUAAUAUGGGAAAAAGGAAACAGAAGAUUUCUGUCCUUCUUGGAAAAGAGUGCUGUGAGAAUUUCUGACAGCAGAAGUUGAAUCUGAAAUCUGGGUACACUGAAGCCAAUGAUGAACCUCCUGAAAACAUCAUGUCACUGGAGCUGUUUGUCAGGUAGAAGAACAUCUGAAGGCCCUGGAAAAGGAAAGUCACCAGACAGCAGCUCACUCAUAUCUUUGUUGUCACCUUAGAGAAUUAGAGGUGACACUCAAUUUAGAAAAUACUGGGUUUAACUGUAAAUAACACUUUCAGAAUUUCAUUAAAGAAAGAGUUGACAACUGAACUUUACAACGUUCACUUGCAGGUGCCAGCAGUGGGACAACUCCUCUUUGCCUGACUCAGAUUCAGAGAGGCUUUGGGUUGCCCCAGGCCCAAGAAAGACAAAGGGCGUGUACUGCUAUCCAAUCCAUGAGCUCAUUGAAAAAGGUGAUUUCCUCAAGGCAGAAUUUACAUUUUUGCUGUGUUGGCCAACAUGGUACACAUGUUGGGUAGAUCAUCAACUGCUGUUACUUGUCGUAGUUCUAUGGAAUUUGGUGAAGUCUGAGCAAUCCAUACAAUAUGAGGAUUUCACCUAUAUAAGAAGAAUCAAAGAAUAUUUUACAUUCAGUCAUUUUUCAUGACAGAGGAAUGACUUGAUCAAUACCUUUUUAUAGGGCAUAUGUAACUACAGAAUUAAUUCAAGUAGGUUGUUUUUUUCUUUUUUUAAUAAGCUGGAAGUUCUAUGAUUUUUACACUUUCAUAUGCUCAUUAACUCAUCAUUUACUAUGAAUCCAUCCACUUGCAGAGCUUGAUAUAUAUGUGAUUUGACAAUUACAAUUCUUUCUGUUUAAGGACAAAUUUCAAUUUUCUUGUAAUUUCACCCACUGGAAGGAUAGAAGUAUUCUUUUUCUUUUACAGAGAUGAGUAAUUUUCCAUCAUAUCAUGUGUGGUGGCACUUUUUUUUCUUGAAGAGUUAAAGGCUAG